rnacentral:rRNA from 1 species
CCUACGGGGGGCAGCAGUGAGGAAUAUUGGUCAAUGGACGAGAGUCUGAACCAGCCAAGUAGCGUGAAGGAUGACUGCCCUAUGGGUUGUAAACUUCUUUUAUAUGGGAAUAAAAUGUUCCACGUGUGGGAUUUUGUAUGUACCAUAUGAAUAAGGAUCGGCUAACUCCGUGCCAGCAGCCGCGGUAAUACGGAGGAUCCGAGCGUUAUCCGGUUUUAUUGGGUUUAAAGGGAGCGUAGGUGGAUUGUUAAGUCAGUUGUGAAAGUUUGCGGCGCAACCGUAAAAUUGCAGUUGAAACUGGCAGUCUUGAGUACAGUAGAGGUGGGCGGAAUUCGUGGUGUAGCGGUGAAAUGCUUAGAUAUCACGAAGAACUCCGAUUGCGAAGGCAGUUCACUGGACUGCAACUGACACUGAGGCUCGAAAGUGUGGGUAUCAAACAGGAUUAGAUACCCGAGUAGUC